UAGGGAAUAUUGGACAAUGGGCGCAAGCCUGAUCCAGCCAUGCCGCGUGCAGGAAGAAGGCGUUAUGCGUUGUAAACUGCUUUUGACAGGGAAUAAAAAACUCAUGCGUGAGUAAUUGAAUGUACCUGUAGAAUAAGCCACGGCUAACUACGUGCCAGCAGCCGCGGUAAUACGUAGGUGGCGAGCGUUAUCCGGAUUUAUUGGGUUUAAAGGGAGCGUAGGUGGUUUUGUAAGUCAGUGGUGAAAGACGGCCGCUCAACGGUCGCAUUGCCAUUGAUACUGCAAGGCUAGAGUACAGUAGAGGUAGGCGGAAUUUAUGGUGUAGCGGUGAAAUGCUUAGAUACCAUAAAGAACACCCAUUGCGAAGGCAGCUUACUGGACUGUAACUGACACUGAGGCU
rnacentral:rRNA from 1 species